AACACGGAGCUUGCUCUGUGGGAUCAGUGGCGAACGGGUGAGUAACACGUGAGCAACCUGCCCCUGACUCUGGGAUAAGCGCUGGAAACGGCGUCUAAUACUGGAUACGAGUAGCGACCGCAUGGUCAGUUACUGGAAAGAUUUAUUGGUUGGGGAUGGGCUCGCGGCCUAUCAGCUUGUUGGUGAGGUAAUGGCUCACCAAGGCGUCGACGGGUAGCCGGCCUGAGAGGGUGACCGGCCACACUGGGACUGAGACACGGCCCAGACUCCUACGGGAGGCAGCAGUGGGGAAUAUUGCACAAUGGGCGCAAGCCUGAUGCAGCAACGCCGCGUGAGGGAUGACGGCCUUCGGGUUGUAAACCUCUUUUAGCAGGGAAGAAGCGAAAGUGACGGUACCUGCAGAAAAAGCGCCGGCUAACUACGUGCCAGCAGCCGCGGUAAUACGUAGGGCGCAAGCGUUAUCCGGAAUUAUUGGGCGUAAAGAGCUCGUAGGCGGUUUGUCGCGUCUGC
rnacentral:rRNA from 1 species